ensembl:snoRNA
AGCAAGGUAUCUGCACUCAGCAGUUCUUUUCCUGCUGGUGUGUUCAAAAGGCAGGGAAUAGAAAUUCGCUGUCUGGCUUUGUGUAUGUUAAACUUGGUAUUUCUAACGAUGCAGUU